rfam:Felis catus isolate Cinnamon breed Abyssinian chromosome B4, whole genome shotgun sequence.
GCAUGGGUGGCUGAGUCGGUUAAGCGCCUGACUUUGGCUCAGGUCAUGAUCUCAUGGUUCGUGGGUUCGAGCCCCGUGUCGGGCU